rnacentral:rRNA from 1 species
AACGAACGCUGGCGGCAUGCCUAACACAUGCGAGUCGAACGAGACCUUCGGGUCUAGUGGCGCACGGGUGCGUAACGCGUGGGAACCUGCCCUUAGGUUCGGAAUAACUCCCCGAAAGGGGUGCUAAUACCGGAUAAUGUCUUCGGACCAAAGAUUUAUCGCCUUUGGAUGGGCCCGCGUUGGAUUAGCUAGUUGGUAGGGUAAAAGCCUACCAAGGCGACGAUCCAUAGCUGGUCUGAGAGGAUGAUCAGCCACACUGGGACUGAGACACGGCCCAGACUCCUACGGGAGGCAGCAGUGGGGAAUAUUGGACAAUGGGCGAAAGCCUGAUCCAGCAAUGCCGCGUGAGUGAUGAAGGCCUUAGGGUUGUAAAGCUCUUUUACCCGGGAUGAUAUUGACAGUACCGGGAGAAUAAGCGCCGGCUAACUCCGUG